AAAUUAUUACUUAAAUGGAUUAA
rnacentral:snRNA from 1 species